rnacentral:rRNA from 2 species
CAUGGCUCAGGAUGAACGCUAGCUACAGGCUUAACACAUGCAAGUCGAGGGGAAACGACAUCGAAAGCUUGCUUUUGAUGGGCGUCGACCGGCGCACGGGUGAGUAACGCGUAUCCAACCUGCCCAUCACUUGGGAAUAACCUUGCGAAAGUAAGACUAAUACCCAAUGACAUCCCACGAAGGCAUCCGAAUGGGAUUAAAGAUUUAUCGGUGAUGGAUGGGGAUGCGUCUGAUUAGCUUGUUGGCGGGGUAACGGCCCACCAAGGCAACGAUCAGUAGGGGUUCUGAGAGGAAGGUCCCCCACAUUGGAACUGAGACACGGUCCAAACUCCUACGGGAGGCAGCAGUGAGGAAUAUUGGUCAAUGGGCGAGAGCCUGAACCAGCCAAGUAGCGUGCAGGAAGACGGCCCUAUGGGUUGUAAACUGCUUUUAUAAGGGAAUAAAGUGAGUCUCGUGAGACUUUUUGCAUGUACCUUAUGAAUAAGGACCGGCUAAUUCCGUGCCAGCAGCCGCGGUAAUACGGAAGGUCCGGGCGUUAUCCGGAUUUAUUGGGUUUAAAGGGAGCGUAGGCCGGAGAUUAAGCGUGUUGUGAAAUGUAGUGGCUCAACCUCUGCACUGCAGCGCGAACUGGUCUUCUUGAGUACGCACAACGUGGGCGGAAUUCGUGGUGUAGCGGUGAAAUGCUUAGAUAUCACGAAGAACUCCGAUUGCGAAGGCAGCUCACGGGAGCGCAACUGACGCUGAAGCUCGAAAGUGCGGGUAUCGAACAGGAUUAGAUACCCUGGUAGUCCGCACGGUAAACGAUGGAUGCCCGCUGUUGGCCUGAAUAGGUCAGCGGCCAAGCGGAAGCAUUAAGCAUCCCACCUGGGGAGUACGCCGGCAACGGUGCAACUCAAAGGAAUUGACGG